AUUUAUAUAGUUUAAGACAAAACAUUACAUUUUCAUUGUAAAAUUAAAAUUUUUAUUUUUAUAAAUA
rnacentral:tRNA from 1 species